CCCAUCAUAAUUCAUGAUGAAUCUAUUCAAAAUACUACGACAAUAGCGAAAGCAUGCACUGGAAAUAACUUCUAUAUCAAAUGAAUCUCCAACUCAAAACAUGUGUUAAUUGUACAGGACAUAACCUCGUAUUGCAAAGUCAAGGACAGCCUAACAGCAAGAAAUGUGAAAUUUUUUACGUUUACACCAAAAGUAUUGAAACCACAGUUUUAUUCGCUAAAAGGUAUUGAUCCUGAAUCUGACAAAGACUUAUUAACACAGGAAAUCAAUAAAGCAGCUCCAACUAAAAUUAAAGCAAAGAAAUUGUCAUUAUUCGAAACACCAAAAUCUAAAAAAGAAAACCGUAAAAUGCCAAUUUUCUUCAUAGAAUUUUCUCCAAAUUCAGACACUGCAUUCUUAUGUGGCAAACCGCCGUAGUUUACAGUUUAUAGUUUGUAGUUUAUAGCUAAUAAUUCUAGUCUGAAAAAUUAGUUUAAGUGUUUACUUUAAUAAAUUAGUUAAGCCAAAUAUCGCGUUCCUUAUCCAAGCAACCACUUCGCUUAAAAAACAUAAAAUACAUAUGUAACCAAAAAAUUCAAUGAGAAAAACUGAGCAAAAAAGAGCCUCCGCAGUGCAAAAACUUCCAAAGGAUUGGUCACUCAGCUAUUAACUGCUUCUUAAGUUUCAGAUGUGUCAAAUGCAAUAAUACACACAAGGGAGGUGAGUGCAAACUAGGUGAAAACCUACAUAAAGAAGCUGUGUUCUGCAUUAAUAUUAAACAGUUUGGGCACCUUGCCUCUUAUAGAGGAUACCCAAUUCUUAAAUCAAGAGUGCAAGCAAUAAAGAACAAGAUCAAAUCCAGCAAUACCAGAAAUAUGGUAAAGAUCCCAACACCAGCGACAGCAGUCAGAAUCAAAACUCAAGCUCCUUAACUACACAGUCAAGUGUUAAAAUCUAAAACUGAACCUUCACUUGUAGCAAGUACUAACAAUCAGCAAGUAAAAACUCAACCGCAAACAGUUUAUCCCACAGCUACAAACUCAAACAACCAACGUGAGCAAUUUGACGCACAACAACUAACAAGUGCCAUCAACAACUUGAAUGCGCAAUUGGCAUUAAUUAUGCAACAAGUAAAUGACAAUAUGGAGAAAAUUGACAUGCUGCUUCAGAUGUUUAUGGGUGGAAUAGGUUAUGAACACUCCAAAACGAAUGGCCGUCGCAAUGGUCCUUGAACAGAAAGAUCAAUCAGCGUAGAUACACACUGCAUCCAGAGCACUGCAAAAUUUUAAAAUUAUUUCCAUAAAUGUAUAUUCAAUCAUAAAUUUACAUAGAAGGGCAUUCCUUGUCGCCUUCUUCGAGAAGUAUAACACGCAUAUCCUAUGUCUGAACGAAACAAAACUAGAUGCAAACCACAUCCUGCAAUUCAAAAAUUUCGCGAUAAUCAGAAACGACAGAACUAAUGCAACACAAGCAGGAGGAACUGCAAUUUUAGUACGAAAUAAUGUACUAUUCACAAGAAUAGGCUUAAAUUUUAUCAACCAAGGAGUGAUUUAAACCUCAGCAGUAUCCCUGAAAUUAACAAACGACAAAAAGUUCCAUAUUAUCGCAGCUUAUAGUGCGAACAACAACGCAUUCCAAUUUAUCAAAGAAUUUGAGAAAAUAUUUAUCACCCUUAAAUUGCACAAACCAAGUAACUACUAUGUAGUACGUGGUGACUUAAAUGAGAAGCACAGCUUAUGGCUGAGUGAUACGAAUAAUGCAAGAGGAAAUAAAUUGGCAAAACGGCUAACUGAAUAUGACCUAAUAUAUAAAACCAGGCUACUAUUCCCAAAAGAAGCUACGUUUCCACGAGCCAACCCCACGCUUCAUAUCGCCUGCACGUACUCAAGGUUCUUCACUGGCAAUUUUAUCAAUCCCUACUUCCUGCAAACUUUACUGUACGACAGUGACCACUGGGCAAUUCAAUUCAUCUUAAACCACAAUGACAUUAUGUUCGACAACACAUUACUCCAGCAGCCGGAACUUCUACUUCUUUGCAAAACCAACUGGAAAGGCUUCGCGAAAAAUCUUUGCUCCUCCAAGAUCUGGAGGAAAAUCUGGCAAUCAAAGCCAUUGAUAAAUUAGUAGGCGAAUUAGAACAGUCAAUAAUCUACUACCGCAGCAACAAUUCGGUUUCCGACUGAGUCGUUCAACGGUGCAUGCCAUUAAUAAAUUAGCAACGGACAUAUGCUGGAGCCUCAACGAAAGCAAACCAGUUUGGGACCAGUCACCCUCGAUAAAAUACAGUGCUUGAAGGACGUUAGACGCCUUCCCCUCAACUCUACGAAAGUGUGCAUUAAAGGUAAGUCUUAAAUCCAAAACCACACCGAGAUAUAAGAUGUUAUCUUUAAUUACAAUUUUAGUGCCCUUUAUAUUUAUCUCUAAGCUGUGGUUAUUUUUUCGGCUAUUACAGGACAAAACCGUUUCAGUCUUAUGCUGCGCAAUAAAUAGCCCUUUAUUUUCAAGCUCCCUUAUUAGUUUUUUGAGUAUUCUAUUCAUUUUGUGCACCAUUUUCCUAGGGCUACUUCCCCUCACGAGGAGCAGAGUGCCAUCGGCGUAACAUACGGGUAUGGCUCCCAAAUCUUCAAUAAAAUUUAGUAUACUGUUAUACGCUAUAUUCCACAUUAGGGGCCCUAGAAUGGAGCCCUGCGGAACCCCACGGCGACGACUUAGCCCUAGGGAAUUUUUUCAAAAGGCGGUACAAAUGUACCCCUUGAGGUACAAACGAAAGUGAAGGUGGUACAAACCCCUACAGGCGAAGAGGAAGGAGCACCACCAAGAAGAUUUAAAAAAUUCCAAAAUUGACGAAGGUACCUCUAGGGAAUUCUUUCAAAAGCCGGUACAAACAAACUCUUUGAAGUACAAACGAAAGUAAAGGUGGUACAAACCUCUACAAACAUUCCUUUUUAUGAUGGCGUUGAAAGAAAUAAAACAUGUUCAAGUGAGGUGCUGGGGUAUUUUCACCCUCUUUUCACCCCUUAGGGUACAAACGAAAAGAAAUAUGGUACAAACGGGUACAAACGAAGCCGAAUACGAUACAAUUGAAAGAAUUAAAAUUUUUGAAAGUCGGGUGCCAGGUUCAGGUAGAUCUCGAGAGAAGAAUGUUUUUCCAAGGUCUGUAGAAGAAUGCCCUUUUUCCGUUCCGCGAGGUUUCCUAGUCCCCGCGAAAUUUAAGGCCCCAGGGUUAUUUUACGGUCCGGACGUCACAGCGUCAGGCCUCUAUCCCGUGGUGGUCAUCGUAGGACGGCCAUGUGCCCGUUAUCUCUGCUUUAUUGGGGUGGGUCACUAGGAAUUUUCUAACACGAUACAUAAAUUCUUACUGCUAGUACCCGAUAUUACAACAAACAAAAAAAACUAUAUAUAUAUA
rnacentral:misc_RNA from 1 species